GGGCAUACUUGUCUAGGACUAUUAAUGAUGUGAAGAAACUCUUAUCAUAUUUUUUUUUUCUCUUCCAUCCUUUCUCGCGGAGUUGCUGCAGCGUCAUACAAAUCGUGUGGAACUCUAACCUCCCUCCUUUUUGGACAUGAUCAUUGAUUCAAGAGCUACUUUUGGAGCAUCGAUUUCAUAGCUAUACUACCUACCUGGUGUAGUGGUGUAUCUAAAAGAACAGUCAUCUUUGAUUAUGAUGCGGUUUAAGUGAAUGUCUUUGGUGGCCAUUUUCAAUGAAAAAUUUCAUCGCAUUGUUUCUAAAAAUUGACACAUCAUAUAAAGUAAAGUAAAAAAUAAAAUAUAGAUAAAAACACCCAUCCUCAAUACAUAGUUUUAUAGAUAUUUAAUUUCAUGACUCAUAUAGAGUUAGUAAUUAUGUGAAAAGAGCUU
rnacentral:lncRNA from 1 species